GGCGGACGGGUGAGUAACGCGUGAGAAUCUGCCUUCAGGUUCGGGACAACCACUGGAAACGGUGGCUAAUACCGAAUGUGCAGCAAUGUGAAAUAUUUAUAGCCUGAAGAUGAGCUCGCGUCUGAUUAGCUAGUAGGUGUGGUAAUAGCGCACCUAGGCGACGAUCAGUAGCUGGUCUGAGAGGAUGAUCAGCCACACUGGGACUGAGACACGGCCCAGACUCCUACGGGAGGCAGCAGUGGGGAAUUUUCCGCAAUGGGCGAAAGCCUGACGGAGCAAUACCGCGUGAGGGAGGAAGGCUCUUGGGUUGUAAACCUCUUUUCUCAAGGAAGAAAAAAAUGACGGUACUUGAGGAAUAAGCAUCGGCUAACUCCGUGCCAGCAGCCGCGGUAAUACGGAGGAUGCAAGCGUUAUCCGGAAUGAUUGGGCGUAAAGCGUCCGCAGGUGGCUAUGUAAGUCUGCUGUUAAAGAGUCUGGCUCAACCAGAUAAAGGCAGUGGAAACUACAUGGCUAGAGUGCGUUCGGGGCAGAGGGAAUUCCUGGUGUAGCGGUGAAAUGCGUAGAGAUCAGGAAGAACACCGGUGGCGAAAGCGCUCUGCUAGGCCGCAACUGACACUGAGGGACGAAAGCUAGGGGAGCGAAUGGGAUUAGAUACCCCAGUAGUCCUAGCCGUAAACGAUGGAUACUAGGCGUGGCUUGUAUCGACCCGAGCCGUGCCGUAGCUAACGCGUUAAGUAUCCCGCCUGGGGAGUACGCAGGCAACUGUGAAACUCAAAGGAAUUGACGG
rnacentral:rRNA from 1 species